UACAGAGGGGGCAAGCGUUAUUCGGAAUUAUUGGGCGUAAAGGGCGCGUAGGCGGCUUGGCAAGUGGAUGGUGAAAUCCCUCGGCUUAACCGAGGAACUGCCGUCCAAACUGCUUCGCUUGAGACCGGGAGAGGGGAGUGGAAUUCCCAGUGUAGCGGUGAAAUGCGUAGAUAUCAGGAGGAACACCGAUGGCGAAGGCAGGUCUCUGGGCCAUAACUGACGCUGAGAAGCGAAAGCACGGGGAGCGAACAGG
rnacentral:rRNA from 1 species